GAUGAACGCUGGCGGCGUGCCUAAUACAUGCAAGUCGAGCGAACAGAUGAGGAGCUUGCUCCUCUGACGUUAGCGGCGGACGGGUGAGUAACACGUGGAUAACCUACCUAUAAGACUGGGAUAACUUCGGGAAACCGGAGCUAAUACCGGAUAAUAUAUUGAACCGCAUGGUUCAAUAGUGAAAGACGGUUUUGCUGUCACUUAUAGAUGGAUCCGCGGCGCAUUAGCUAGUUGGUAAGGUAACGGCUUACCAAGGCAACGAUGCGUAGCCGACCUGAGAGGGUGAACCGGCACACUGGAACCGAGACACGGUUCAGACUCCUACGGGAGGCAGCAGUGGGGAAUAUUCCAGAAUGGGCGGAAGCCCGAACGAGCCAACCCGCGUGGGUGAAGAAGGUCUUCGGGUUGUAAAACCCUUUUGUUUGGGAAGAACAAAAGGUGAAGUAAACCAUGCCGUUCUGACGGUACCCAAAGAAGAAGCCCCGGCUAACUUCGUG
rnacentral:rRNA from 1 species